rnacentral:rRNA from 1 species
UACGGAGGAUGCAAGCGUUAUCCGGAUUUAUUGGGUUUAAAGGGAGCGUAGGCGGACUAUUAAGUCAGCUGUGAAAGUUUACGGCUCAACCGUGAAAUUGCAGUUGAAACUGGUCGUCUUGAGUGCAGUAAAGGUGGGCGGAAUUCGUGGUGUAGCGGUGAAAUGCUUAGAUAUCACGAAGAACUCCAAUUGCGAAGGCAGCUCACUGGAGUGUAACUGACGCUGAUGCUCGAAAGUGUGGGUAUCAAACAGG